rnacentral:rRNA from 1 species
GAUGAACGCUGGCGGCGUGCCUAAUACAUGCAAGUCGAGCGGACUGAUUAGAAGCUUGCUUCUAUGACGUUAGCGGCGGACGGGUGAGUAACACGUGGGCAACCUGCCUGUAAGACUGGGAUAACUUCGGGAAACCGAAGCUAAUACCGGAUAGGAUCUUCUCCUUCAUGGGAGAUGAUUGAAAGAUGGUUUCGGCUAUCACUUACAGAUGGGCCCGCGGUGCAUUAGCUAGUUGGUGAGGUAACGGCUCACCAAGGCAACGAUGCAUAGCCGACCUGAGAGGGUGAUCGGCCACACUGGGACUGAGACACGGCCCAGACUCCUACGGGAGGCAGCAGUAGGGAAUCUUCCGCAAUGGACGAAAGUCUGACGGAGCAACGCCGCGCGAGUGAUGAAGGCUUUCGGGUCGUAAAACUCUGUUGUUAGGGAAGAACAAGUACAAGAGUAACUGCUUGUACCUUGACGGUACCUAACCAGAAAGCCACGGCUAACUACGUGCCAGCCGCCGCGGUAACAC